AUUGAACGCUGGCGGCAGGCCUAACACAUGCAAGUCGAGCGGCAGCACGGGUACUUGUACCUGGUGGCGAGCGGCGGACGGGUGAGUAAUGCCUAGGAAUCUGCCUGGUAGUGGGGGAUAACGCUCGGAAACGGACGCUAAUACCGCAUACGUCCUACGGGAGAAAGCAGGGGACCUUCGGGCCUUGCGCUAUCAGAUGAGCCUAGGUCGGAUUAGCUAGUUGGUGAGGUAACGGCUCACCAAGGCGACGAUCCGUAACUGGUCUGAGAGGAUGAUCAGUCACACUGGAACUGAGACACGGUCCAGACUCCUACGGGAGGCAGCAGUGGGGAAUAUUGGACAAUGGGCGAAAGCCUGAUCCAGCCAUGCCGCGUGUGUGAAGAAGGUCUUCGGAUUGUAAAGCACUUUAAGUUGGGAGGAAGGGCAUUUACCUAAUACGUAAGUGUUUUGACGUUACCGACAGAAUAAGCACCGGCUAACUCUGUGC
rnacentral:rRNA from 1 species